rnacentral:rRNA from 1 species
GACGAACGCUGGCGGCGUGCUUAACACAUGCAAGUCGAACGGAAAGGCCCUGCUUUUGUGGGGUGCUCGAGUGGCGAACGGGUGAGUAACACGUGAGUAACCUGCCCUUGACUUUGGGAUAACUUCAGGAAACUGGGGCUAAUACCGGAUAGGAGCUCCUGCUGCAUGGUGGGGGUUGGAAAGUUUCGGCGGUUGGGGCUGGACUCGCGGCUUAUCCGCUUGUUGGUGGGGUAGUGGCUUACGAAGGCUUUGACGGGUAGCCGGCCUGGGAGGGUGACCGGCGACAUUGGGACUGAGAUACGGCGCAGACUCCUACGGGAGGCAGCAGUGGGGAAUAUUGCACAAUGGGCGGAAGCCUGAGGCAGAAACGCCGCGUGCGGGAUGACGGCUUUCGGGGUGUAAACCGCUUUCGCCUGUGACGAAGCGUGAGUGACGGUAAUGGGUAAAGAAGCACCGGCUAACUACGUG